UUAUAUAUAAUAAAUAAAAAAUACGAAAAUGAAUAAUUCAUAUCAUAUACUAAUAACAUAUAUGAAUUACUAAUAUCAUAUAUGAAUAGUAAUGAAAUUGCAAGAAUAAAAAUUGCAAUAAAUAUCAAAAUACUAAAAGAGGUUUUUCAUGAUUUAUCAAUUGUUUAUACUAGAUCGUUUAGUAGGUUUAUGGCUUAAAAUACUAAAUUCAGCCAUUGUGAUGGGACUGUAUUAUGGAUUUCUGACUACAUUCUCCAUAGGGCCAUCUUAUCUCUUCCUUAUUCGAGCCCGGGUUAUGGACAAAGGGACCGAGACGGAAAUAGCAGCAACAACCGGGUUUAUUACGGGACAGCUUAUGAUGUUCAUAUCGAUCUAUUAUGCGCCUUUGCAUUUGGCUUUGAUUAGACCUCAUACAAUCACUGUCCUAACUCUACCGUAUCUUUUCUUUAAUUUCGUAUACAAAAACAACAAACACUAUUAUUCGGCGGAUUCUCACUUUUAUUUGGAUUUGGAUUACGGAUACAAGAAUCCAAAUUCAAUACGUAAAUUUCGUAUUUACAAAGUAUUCUUUAACAAUCUUUUUUUUCAGUUAUCAAACCCCUUGCUUUUCCCAAGUUCAAUCUUACUAAGAUUAAUGAACAUUUAUCUCUUUCGAUCCAACAAUAAAUUGUUAUUCUUAACAAGUAGUUUUCUUGGUUGGUUAAUUGGUCAUAUCUUUUUGAUGAAAUGUAUUGGAUUGAUAUUAUUAGUUUGGUCAAAGCAAAAAAAUUCGAUCAAAUCUAAGUUAACUAUGCGAUUUGAUAAGUACAUUCUAUUACAAUUGCGAAAUUAUGUGGGUCAAAUAUUUGUUGUUUUUUCAUUUGUUAUCGUUGUCCACUAUUUAGGCAGAACACCGGUUCCAUAUUUAUAUACUUAUACUGAUGAAAUCUUAGAAUACGACGAGAAACAAAAGGAUGAAAUCAAUGGUGAAACAGAAAUCGAUGUUGAAAUAGAUUCGGAACAAGAACAAAACGGCUCCAUCGAAGACGAAGAAGAUAUUCUUUCUUAUCUU